GAUGAACGCUGGCGGUAUGCCUAACACAUGCAAGUCGUACGAGAGUUUUUAACUCUAGUGGCGGACGGGUGAGUAACACGUGAGAAUUUGCCUUUAGGAGGGGGAUAACAAUUGGAAACGAAUGCUAAUACCCCAUAUGCUUUUGAGUGAAACGGAUUUAUCCGCCUAGAGAGAAGCUCGCGGCUGAUUAGCUUGUUGGUAAGGUAAGAGCUUACCAAGGCGACGAUCAGUAUCUGGUUUGAGAGGACGAUCAGACACACUGGAACUGAGACACGGUCCAGACUCCUACGGGAGGCAGCAGUGGGGAAUUUUCCGCAAUGGGCGAAAGCCUGACGGAGCAAUACCGCGUGAGGGAAGACUGCCUAUGGGUUGUAAACCUCUUUUUUCAGGGUAGGAAGUAAAUGACGUGUACCUGAAGAAUAAGCAUCGGCUAACUCCGUG
rnacentral:rRNA from 1 species